rnacentral:rRNA from 1 species
CAUCGGUGACAGGUGGUGCGAUGGUUGUCGUCAGCUCGUGUCGUGAGAUGUUGGGUUAAGUCCCGCAACGAGCGCAACCCCUAUUGUUAGUUGCCAUCAUUCAGUUGGGCACUCUAGCGAGACUGCCGGUAAUAAAACCGGAGGAAGGUGGGAUGACGUCAAAUCAUCAUGCCCCUUAUGACCUGGGCUACACACGUGCUACAAUGGUUGGUACAACGAGUUGCGAGUCGGUGACGGCGAGCUAAUCUCUUAAAGCCAAUCUCAGUUCGGAUUGUAGGCUGCAACUCGCCUACAUGAAGUCGGAAUCGCUAGUAAUCGCGGAUCAGCACGCCGCGGUGAAUACGUUCCCGGGCCUU